AGAGUAGUUCUGUGCCCUCCCUCAGCUCACCAUGCAGUUGGGCACACAGAGAGUGCCAGACUCUUCCUUUCCUGUGCGCCCCUCCCACCUGCAUGCAUGCCCAGUGUGCCACCCGUGGGGACACGGGCCAGCCGUCACAAGGAUCUGAGGGAAAGGGAAGUCAGGUUUGCGGCUGUUUCCCCUCUUCCCUGCCUUCCCUGCCCCCUCUCCAGGUUGCCUGUCGACACAGCAGUGUCCGAGAGGACACACAGCCAGCACCCAUUCCCACAACAGAAUAAGAGAAUUAUGGUGAACUGGUGAGAACUGAAAGUUGUCAGCUUUCAAGUGCUUGCCCCAAAACCUGGCAUUUUCUAAAGGAAGAAAAAAAACUGCAAAUAACUUAAAUUUGCCACCCUUCAGUCUAUCACCUAUAGCAAGACCAAGUCUCAGGAAUGGAUUUAUGUUAUGUGAUACAUGGGACGACUCCCUGCUUGCACUGCUUUCUAUGGUACAGGGUCACAUCUCCAGUUAGUCCCCUAAAUUACCAUGUGCAACAACACGGCUUUGCACAUCUUCAUGAAUGCCCUGACUAAAUGUGCCUUCCCUGUGCACAUCCGCUGUCCGGGACACUGCAAGGCUGCAAAUGCCUCCAAGUCACAGCCCGGACCCCACAUGCAGAGAUGUGCAGUGCGGUUUGCUCUGCCGAGUGUGUGACUGUGUACACACGUGAGAGAGGCUCUGCUUUCGGAGGUGGCUCUGUGUGUCCCUGUUCGUGUCACUGUGCUUUCCAUCACCUCCUGUUUGCUCCAUGUGCCCUGGAGCUACAGUCCCCAUCCCAUGCCGGGGCAUGGGCGCUCCUAAGAUCUGCACAAACACACUGCCCACAUGAGAGUACAAACUUGUUUACACACAGUGCGCUAACUCCGGCUAUGGGUGUACACGCCUCUGGAAGCACUCGUGUGCGAUGCUAUCAGCGGUAUCCCUGUGAGGCUCCUGGCAGACCCAACUGCAGGCAGUAGAAGCACAUCAAAUAAGUGACAUUCACUAAGACCAUAAAGGAGAAUCCUUCCCCAUUGGGGCUUGAGGCUACUAAAAGUUGUACCCAGGUCUGUUGCUGAGGGAAUAAAACAAUUAGAACUCAAAUACUGCUUCGUUAU
rnacentral:lncRNA from 1 species